AUGUCAUGAGAACUUUUGUUUCCACAUAGGGGAUGGAACAGCCUUCCACUAAUAAAGACAUUCCUUGAUCAAGUAUUUAUGUUGUGAAUUGCAUUGCACCCUGAGAUUAUAAUUUCAAGCAUGGAAGUAGGGUGAUGGUCCUAUGGAAUCAGUUUUCUUUGCAUAUCAGUACGGUACUCAUUGUGUAAUAUUCAGUUUUACAAUUUAUUUACCCUCAGAAUCACACUAAGUUACAACGAGGCAAAUUCUGGAGUUGCUUGCAACCUUCAAUCCCCUGGUUUCCAUGUCCUAUGUAAAGCGACUGAAGAGGCAGUGGUGCAUGUAAAGCCCUAUUCUAUUACUGGUAGUUUGCCACUUAUUAGAGAAUUGCAGGUACAAUGAAUUUGCUUGUCAUAAGACUCAAAUCUUUUGGCAUCCUUCUAACUUUGUUAUUUGGCAGGAUGAGGGCUUUGAUGUCCAAACUGCAGGCUAUGCUAAGAUUCUUCCAUAUCCUACCACUUUUUUAUUUAAAUAAUAUAAGCUUAUAGCUGUAUGCUUCUGAUAGUAUUUUGUGAAAAAGAUGUUUUGGUCUGCAUUAGGAUUUUUCCCAGAGCUUGGUUGCUUGAAUCCUUUCUUGAGCAUGUUACUUGCCAGUUAUACCAUUCUUCUUAUCUUAGAAGGAACUCAAUGAAAGCAUGUUAAGAUUCUGUCUUCCUGAUAAUUAUUUCUUCUAUAUGGCUAACACCUAACCUGGUUGACGUCUUCUAUACCCAUUCUGAUGCAAAAGAUAUAUAUGCUGCUGUCAAUUUUGGCUACACCAAAACAGAUGGAUUAAUGGAUUUUGCUCUUUUCAUAAACAUGCAGGCUUGAUGGCUACAUACCAUGCCAAGAAUGAGUACUGCCUUCUAACUGACUUGUGCCAGGGCUAUCAUGUGCCUUGGCUAUCAAGUACCAAGGCCUUGGCUAUCAUGUGCCCCUUGUGCCCAUGUCAUGAUAAUAAUAACGAAUAAAAUUCAUGACUUUCAUUAUUGAUGUGAAUGUCAGAUGAUGGAAUAGUGGUAAAGGUUGCAAAGGAGGGAAUUCCACUGCCUCCAGAUAGAAUGUUAUGCCCUUUGCAUUCACAAAAGCGUGUAAACCCAUCAGCUGUAGCUGUUUCAGGAUUUGUCUUUUGUUAUUCUUACAUAUUUAAAUAAGUCUCUUAGGUUUGUUUCUCCAUACUUUUGUAUUGAUCAUGGUAAAAUUGCAGAACUACUGCCAAAUAUUGUUUCUAAGUGAUGCUUUCUCUUAUGUCA